AAUAAAUCUGAAGGAGUUUCGCACUCUAUUAAAAUUUAGAGCAAAUGCCGGCGAUGAAAUUUUAAAAAAUUAUUUGGAAGGGGGGCAGCAAAUGCUCAAUAAACAAGCACAAAAACACAAAAUAUGCUAAUUGAAAUUUUUGGGCAAGUAAUCACUGAACAAACAAUAAAUAAAAUAAACCGUGCAAGUUUUUUUCCGUUAUGGCCGAUGAAACGAUUGAUAUUCAGACGAGAACAAAUAUCGUUAUGUAUUCGAUAUAUUGAUUCUGACAUCUUACGAUUUGGGAAGAUUUUUUAAAUUUAUAGUCUUCUCAGAUUUAAGUAUCUCUGGUUUUGAAUAUUAAUUAUACACGAG